rnacentral:rRNA from 1 species
UACAGAGACGGCAAGCGUUGUUCGGAAUUACUGGGCGUAAAGCGCGCGCAGGCGGUCCUUCCAGUCAGAGGUGAAAGCCCAGAGCUCAACUCUGGAACUGCCUUUGAAACUAGAGGACUUGGGUACGGGAGAGGUGAGUGGAAUUCCGAGUGUAGAGGUGAAAUUCGUAGAUAUUCGGAAGAACACCAGUGGCGAAGGCGGCUCACUGGCCCGUUACCGACGCUCAGGCGCGACAGCGUGGGGAGCAAACAGG